rnacentral:rRNA from 1 species
CAAUAGCGUAUAUUAAAGUUGUUGCAGUUAAAAAGCUCGUAGUUGGGUUUCUGGUGGGAGCGAUCGGUCUGGCGCUUAGCGCGAGUACUUGCAUCGUCUCCGGCCAUCCUUGGGGAAAGUCUGUCUGGCAUUAAGUUGUCGGGCAGAGGAUCCUCAUCGUUUACUGUGAAAAAAUUAGAGUGUUCAAAGCAGGCUUAUGCCGUUGAAUAUAUUAGCAUGGAAUAAUAAGAUAGGACUUUGGUACUAUUUUGUUGGUUUGCGCACCAAAGUAAUGAUUAAUAGGGACAGUUGGGGGUAUUCGUAUUCCGUUGUCAGAGGUGAAAUUCUUGGAUUUACGGAAGACGAACUACUGCGAAAGCAUUUACCAAGGAUGUUUUCAUUAA